rnacentral:lncRNA from 10 species
UCCCAGGAUCCACCUCUGAUGUUCAGUGAAGAGGACCAGAAAAGUCUGCUAGAGCAGUACCAUCUGGGUCUGGAUCAAAAACGCAGAAAAUACGUGGUUGGAGAGCUCAUCUGGAAUUUUGCCGAUUUCAUGACUAACCAGUGUGUCAGUUUCUUGGUCGGGAAUGAAAAUAGUGCCAACCUGUGAUACCUUCACUCUAAUUUUACUUUCUGAGGAAGUUUUCUGUAAUAGUUAUUUGGUGAUAAUUAUUAAUACUGGUGAGAAAAUCAAUGUAAAAGAGGAGAAAUAACCCACACAACCACAUACAACUAGGAAAUGAUAGAUGGAUCUGAAAAAAAGGAUAAGCACUCUUAACAAGUUCAACACCCAAGUACUAUUGCAAGUACAAGCUGUAUUUCAUGGA